GAGUACUGAUUUCAGUGGCUUAUAUACUAAAAUUGGAAUGAUACAGAAAGGACUAGCAUGGCCUUUGCACAAGAUGACAUGCAAAUUCAAGAAGCAGUCCAUGUUUUU